GAGACUAUGGGUACUAAGAUCCAUGGUCAAAAGGGAAACAACCCAGACCGUCAGCUAAGGUCCCUAAUUAUAGCUAAGUGGGAAAGGAGGUGGAGAUUCCCAAACAACCAGGAGGUUGGCUUAGAAGCAGCCAUACCUUUAAAGAGUGCGUAAUAGCUCACUGGUCGAGAGUCUCUGCGCCGACAAUGUAACGGGGCUAAGCUAUAAACCGAAGCUACGGAAUCGCGUAAGCGAUUGGUAGGAGAGCGUUCUGUAGGCUGUUGAAGGAGAACUGAUAAGGAACUCUGGAGGUAUCAGAAGUGAGAAUGCAGGAAUAAGUAGCGAGAAAGAGGGUGAGAAUCCUUCUCGCCGGAAGACCAAGGUUUCCAGGGUAAAGCUUGUCUUCCCUGGGUAAGCCGGGACCUAAGCCCAGGCUAUAAUGCGUAGGCGAAUGGAAAACAGAUUAAUAUUUCUGUGCCACUGAUAAAUUGUGAAGGAGGGACGCAGAAGGGUAUGUAAGCAGGAGAACGGAAGUUCCUGUGUAAGCAUGUAGUAUGACUUAGUAGGCAAAUCCGCUAGGUUAGAUAUGAGGUGUGAUGCGUAGAGCGUAAGCUUGAAUUUACAGAUCCCACGCUGCCAAGAAAAGCUUCUAGCGUUAAUUUAUUAGUGCCCGUACUGUAAACCAACACAGGUGGUCAGAAUGAGAAAUUUAAGGCGGACAGGCUAACUCUCGCUAAGGAACUCUGCAAAAUGAAUCCGUAACUUCGGGAGAAGGAUUGCCCUUUUGUGUGGACUACUACGCGUGGAAAGCAUGAGAGGGUCGCAGUGAAGAGGCUCAGGCAACUGUUUAACAAAAACACAGGUCUAUGCUAAGCUGAAAGGCGAUGUAUAUGGGCUGACACCUGCCCAGUGCCGGAAGGUUAAGAGGAGGAGUGAGAGCUCCGAAUUGAAGCCCCGGUGAACGGCGGCCGUAACUAUAACGGUCCUAAGGUAGCGAAAUUCCUUGUCGGGUAAGUUCCGACCUGCACGAAAGGUGUAAUGAUCUGAGCGCUGUCUUGGCGGGAGGCCUGGUGAAAUUGUAUUACCGGUGAAGAUACCGGUUACCUGCAGUAGGACGGAAAGACCCCAUGGAGCUUUACUGUAGCUUGGUAUUGGGUUUUGGUGUCAUAUGUAUAGGAUAGUUGGGAGACGAAGAAGUAUGUCCGUCAGGAUAUAUGGAGUCGCUGGUGGAAUACCAACCAUAUUACACUGAAAUUCUAAUUUGAGGUUUGUAGCCUUGAAGACAGUGCUAGGUGGGCAGUUUGACUGGGGCGGUCGCCUCCGAAAGAGUAACGGAGGCGCCCAAAGGUUCCCUCAGGUUGGAUGGAAAUCAACCGCAGAGUGUAAUGGCAGAAGGGAGCUUAACUGCGAGACUGACGGGUCGAGCAGGUGCGAAAGCAGGGCAUAGUGAUCCGGCGAUUCCGAAUGGAAGGGUCGUCGCUCAACGGAUAAAAGCUACCCUGGGGAUAACAGGCUGAUUUUGCCCGAGAGUCCAUAUCGACGGCAAAGUUUGGCACCUCGAUGUCGGCUCAUCACAUCCUGGGGCUGGAGAAGGUCCCAAGGGUUGGGCUGUUCGCCCAUUAAAGUGGUACGUGAGCUGGGUUCAGAACGUCGUGAGACAGUUCGGUCCCUAUCCACUGCAGGCGCAAGAGUAUUGAAAAGAUCUGUCCUUAGUACGAGAGGACCGGGAUGGACAAACCUCUGAUGUACCAGUUGUCACGCCAGUGGCACAGCUGGGUAGUCACGUUUGGACUAGAUAACCGCUGAAAGCAUCUAAGCGGGAAACUGACUUUGAGAUAAGUACUCUAUAGACAACUUCGAGACUAGGAGUUAGAUAGGUUGGGAGUGAAAGUGAAGUAAUUCAUUGAGCGGACCAAUACUAAUAAGUCGGAAUCUUAAUCAAGAGAAAUUACUAUGUAGU
rnacentral:rRNA from 1 species